AUAUUCAAAAAUAUGAAUCAUAUUAUACCGAAAACUUCGAUUGAUAGUGUGAUCGAUAUCUCUGACUUCUUUUGAUCCCUGAGCUAGAUAGGCGGUACUAUAAGAAAAUAGAAAGGAAAGGGAGUAAGCAUAAAGCUUAGUAAGUUGCAUAUAAAUAAAUAUACAACAUAACUUUACCAUUCAUCAACAAGUAUCAUAACACACAAGUGGCAUAAGCAAAACUUACUCAUCAAUAUUCAAUACACCUCAUAUAACAUAUAUUAAGCUCACAUUUCAUAAAUAUCAUAUAGAUACAUAUACCACUCGCAACACAGUUAUGCUUUCCUUGUUAACUUGAAAUCAUAAACUUGAAAUCAUACUUUCACCGUUGAACCAUUUGGAACAUUAUCGGAUACUCAUUUAGCCUCAAACAUGGGGUCAGGUACUGAUGUCCUGUCCUAGACAUAGAAUUACACAAGUGCUAGCAUAUUUGUGACGAUGCCAUGUCCUAGGCAUGGUCUUACACUGACACAUUUCGUAGUCGAUGCAUGUUCCAGACAUGUCUUACACUGGCUUACGUCUCGAGGCCGAUGCAUGUCCCAAACAUGGUCUUACACAAGCUCUUAUAAUGUGGCUGUUGCAUGUCCCAGAUAUGUCUUACACUAGCUCACAAUAACCUAUAUGUUAUAGCAUGAAUAUCUGAUUUAUUUCCUAGGUUCAAACGGGAACUCUACUAUCUCUAUUACCAUCAUGCUUUCUCAAUUCCACAAUCAAGAAAUCCAUGCUACAUUAAAUUCAAAUACAAUUCAACACAUACAUUAACAUUUUAGUUGUAUUAUUUACAUACAACUUACCUCAGAUUACAAAAUGUGGCGACCAGUCGAUUUAAUCGACUUGCUUGGCUUUCCCCCGGUCUAGGUUCGGAUUCGGUAUUUCUUGAUCUAUAAUAGCAAAAUGUACUUAUUUAGUCACUAAAUAAAAUUUAGCAAUCGAAAAUUCAUUUCUUUGGUAAAACUAUUUUGCCUCUAGAUUUUGACAAAAUGACCAUUUUACCCCUAGACCCGAAAAUAGAUUUUUAUCGUAUUUCUUCGCAUCUUAAACUUGUCCGAACCCUUUUUAAUAUUAUAGCAACCCCAAAUUCCCACUAUUUCACAUACUUAACACCUAUUUUACAACUUAUACAAUAUAGUUUUUUUAAGUGUUUUCAUGCUAACACAUUUCACAAAAGUUGUUUAUAAGACACCCAAGACUCAUUUUCUUCCAUAAAAACUCAACAAACAUUACAAAUCCUUUCAUGCCAAAACCCUAAACUUUUAAUCAUUUUGCAAAAUAGUACCCUCAUUUGAAAGCUUAUGCUUCAAAGGUCUCAAAAGUGCAAAAAUAUUCAAGAAAGCCAUUAAAAUCACUUACUCGUGAAGGCUUAAAGUUGUUGAAAUUUGAAGCUCUUAAAACCCCAUUUCUUUGCUGAAAAUUUC
rnacentral:lncRNA from 1 species